rnacentral:lncRNA from 1 species
UCCAUCGUCGGGCCGACGAUGCAAUUCCUGGGGGUAGAUUGUGGCAGCAUGGAGUUCAUGCGCUGCCAAUCACCUUGAUUGUUCGGGCAGUUGCAGCUGUGGCGUUCCCCUUAAAAGGAGGCGGUGCUGCACUGGCUGCUCUUGUUGUCAAGCUUUUGGGUGCCACGCUACAGUUUACUUGGUCCUCCUCAUUUGAUUGCUGUGCUAUCCCAUGCGCGCCUGGGUCUGCUGUCAUCGGAGCUGGGGAGCCGUGGGUGUCUUCGGUUCGUCGGCUGUUUGGCCCUGCUAGGGGGAACGCUGUGGUGGCUCGGUGUGCGUCUCCAUUUUAGAGAUUUCUUUCCCUUACUUGACGAAAUUGUUACAGGUGCCGGCUCUCGUGCGCUUUCCUCCCGUUGCCGUGGCCGGCUGCUGUUUUGCCCUCCGCAUCGCGUUAUCGCGUAUGCUCCCGACUGUCACUCUCGUCUACCUCUGCGAGGUAUCAUCGUGUGGGGUCCAAUCUAAAGUGCGAGUGUGUGAGUGUACUGCGCCUCUAGGAGGACUAGGGCUGCCUUUAUUUUGGGUUUAAUGUUUUGUUGUGGGGGUUAUUUUGCAUGUUUAUUUGGGGUUGAUUUGUGAUUAUUGUUUGUGUGGGUUAUUUUGCAUGUUUAUUUGGGUUUGACUAAGUGUGCUUUUUGCUCGUGUGGGUUAUUUUUGCAUGUUAUUUGGAUUUGAUUAAUUGUGUUAUUUGUGUGCUGUGUGGGUUAUUUUUGUAUGUUUAUUUGGGUUCUUCUAUUGUGUACGUUUUUCUUUCAUUUUCUAAGCGGCGUCGAUCCUACCCUGUGGGGUGCAGGUGUUUUAAAGAUAAUUGUAAAAUCUCGAAUAUGAAUUUAAUAUCUGCACGUUGAGUGUGUGUGAAUGGGUGUGUGAGAGUAUUUUAGCAAUUAUUGUUAGCGGAUAAUCGGGAAUAAAGGUAUUAAUUUUGUACAUUGGACCAGUCUCUUAUCCUCAUUAGGAACACUUGUGCGGCCUUGAUAAUUCUCCAGGCGGAAUUCCUGGGGUGGCGUUGUCGACUUUGCAAAGAGAUAUACCGAGC